UAAAACUUGUCUUCUUUUCAAGUCAACUGAAGGCUUUUGAAGUCUCCGCAUGGAGGAUAGAUCGCUCAUGGAGAUGGAGGGGUUCACUCUCGCCCUUAAUUAUACGUCGACGCUUCAACCGCUCUCGAAUCGGAAACAGAGGUUCGCCGAUCACAUUCAAGCUUCGCUCUCGGAUCGGAGUUUGGUGGAGUUAGAGAAGCUGCUUUCCCCAGUUUUCUCAAAAGGGUCAGAUGUAGAGUAAUGAAGCAAUCUUGAAAAGGGCAAAUGUAUGCCCACAGAUGAAUGUAUGCAAAUUCAAAAGGGCCACGCUAAUUCUCCUU